UAUACUGCAGAUUGGCAAAAAAUGGAAAGGCUGGAAAAAUACCAGACGUUGGUGAGGAUGUGUGGAGACCAGAACAGCGUGGCUGGUGGGAGUGUAGCCUGGCACACAGCAACGUGGGAGGGGAACAAGAAAUGACUUAUUCUUCUUAUAUUAUAUGACCAAGGUGACAUAUCUACUGAGAAGACUUUGAUUAUCUGGGGGAAAAGAAGGUGCACAAGUCUUCAAAAUGAAAUAAAGUUACUUUUAAAAAAUUCAAACUUACCCAACAAGCAACUGCUGAUGACUGCAAAUACUUUGCAAACCAUUCUGAAGUGAAAGACAUGCCCUGUUCACAAAAAGUCCCAGAAUAAUGAGCAAAGGAAGUACGCAACAAGGAUGGAACAAAAAAACUACAACAUACUCACAAGAUCUCCAUAACGGGCAG